rnacentral:lncRNA from 10 species
GCUUCCUGCCCUUGAACAUCGGACUUCAAGUUCUUCAGCGUUGGGACUCAGACUGGCUCUCCUUGCUCUUCAGCCUGCAGACAGCCUAUUGUGGGACCUUGUGAUCGUGGUGUCCUGGAAUUAAUAAAACUCGAGGAGUGGGGCUGCGGCUCCUCUGUGGACUAAGUGUGUGGUAUCACUGCUUAGGUCAACAAGUGCCUGUCAGGGCCGGAAAUGCCCGUGGAGCAGAGGGCCUUUGAGUCGCGGGGAAAGACACCGUGGGCUGCACCUGAAGCUGCAUGUUUGUCUGGGGUUACAUGAGUUUAACAGAAGGAUUUUUCUACCGGAAAAGAACGAAGACGCAAGCCUUGGUUACCCCAUUUCAGAGGAGAUUUUAAAGAGGGAUCUGGAAAACUGUUUUUUCCUUUUUUUCACUCAUCAUCAUGUUACACAGUUUCUAAAGACCUGAUCUCAACUUUCCUCUCAGCACAGGCUAUAAUUUUUUUUGCUAAGACGAUCCUUUUCUGUCAUUCUCUUGAAUGUUUCUCUUCCUGGGUGACUGGGAGAAUUCCUUCAAAAGGAUUUCUGAGACUGGUGUUUCCCAAACAACAGAGAACAUCGUACCCCUAGAAAUGGAGGACCAAGUGGCUUUUGUGAUAAGCAAGACCUCACCUGCACUUCGCAGACACUCCCAGCAGAGGAAAAAUACCAAACAGAAAGGGAAAGUGGUCAUGGAACAGAUUCUGCUACCAAGAAAUCAGGGAAUAAAUGGCCAGGGAUGAGUUUCAUAAGACCUGAAUUAUACAAUUCAGAGAACAAAAUUCAUAAAUUUAUCUAGUUGUUUCCUGACAAUUUCAUUCGAUCUGCCUAAGUUAGCUACCCCAUAGUUCACCUAGAAAUGUUUCCUAGUUCCCUUACCUAUUGGUGCAUAAAAGCUGCUUUCACAUGUCUCCAGUUUCCAACCUACAUAUCAGCCAGUGAUUUGCAUAAUCCUUAAACCCCCACCCCCAUUCCUUUUUUCAGCCACCUAAUGCAAACAAGAUCUGGCUCAGGCUUCCCUAAACUAAUCCACGGAACACCAUUUAGAAGGGAGACUAUUCCGUGUAAGUUGGCACGGCCGAAUGAGAUCUCUAUUGUAUAAGGGGCAGUCCCAGUAGAAAGACAUUAAUGAAUAUGCCAGUGGGGAGAGCCUCAGCUUCCCAGUUGCUUGCUGGACCCUAAAGCUGUAAGAACUCUGUGAAACUUGAAUGUUUCUUUUUUUAACCAAGGUAAGGAAUUUAAUGCCACUGCCCUGUCUGAAUCCUUACAGCUCAUCAAGACCCAAGUCAUAAACAACAACUUCAGGAAGAAUGAAGCCUAGCCUGAGCCUCCCUCCAAAUUCUCCUUUUCCCACUCACUGCUUCACACUUGAACUAACCAGUCUGUCCUCUAAACUCGAAUAUGCUUUUCUGGUAAUAUUUUAUGACCCCUACCUUGCCCAUAAAAAUGUAAGUUCUUUAGAGGCUGAGACUGUGUUUAAGCAUCUUUGCAAAACCCGCAGCUUGUUAGCACAAAUAAUAAAUGCUUCUUGAAUAAAUACAUAUGUUUUUAAAAAUAACUUGUUAUUUUAAAACAGUUAUUUAGUGCUGUUUUUCCCCAGUAUCUCCAGGUUUCAGCUCACUCUUUGUAUUCUCCCUCCAAAACCCCUCCCCUCUCACCUUUCAGAUCUGCUGAGACCAGCGCUACUGAACAGACACGAUGGAAAUGUUCCUUAUCUAUGUGGGCCCAUAUGCUAGCCUCUGACCUCAUGUAGUUAUUGAGCGCUUGAAAUGUGGAUAGUGGAACUCAUAACUGAUUUUUAAAUUUUAUUUUAUCUUCAUGUAUUUAAAACUUAACCUAGCCACAGGUAGCCACUAGGCUACUGUAUUGAAGAGCACAGGACCUUGACUCUUCUGAGAAGUCUUGCUGAAGAACCACUCUAGACACCUCCCAGCCAUCAGUAUGAAGGUAGAUUAGGAGCUUACCUUGUGCUUGACUUUAUCAUAAUAUUUAUCACAACAUACUUAGUUUUCUAUUUAUUUACCUGAUUUUCUUAUUGGACUGUAAGUUCUUGAGUCUUAAGUUAUAGCUUAUUUAUCAUUGUAUCUCUGAGAACCAGGUGUAAUACUGGUAUUUUAAAAGUGCUCAAUAAAUAUUUCGGGAGGAAAAGGAUGAAUGAAUGAACUGAUUGCUCAGUGGACGGCUAGAGACAUUUUUUAAUAUAUAAGAAAUCUACAAAACAGACUUGUUGGAACAGUGAGCUGGGAACUAAGAGAUGAAUGGUGGUGAUGUGACAAAUUAUCUUUGUCUAAGGAGCAUACGCAGUUCUUUAGCUCAUCUUUCCUCACAAGCUCAGGCCCUGCCUUCUGCUUCACUGGAACACAGGAACAACUCGCUUGUAGACUCUCUGGUCAUUAAGCCAUGACUUUGUCCAGACUUGCCCUUUAAGAAAAUUCCCAGGAGAUAAAGUUCACUGCAAUGACGGAGUGAGAUAAACAUGCUUUUUGCUGUGAUCCCAUGUUCUCACAUACCCCAUACUGGUCUACCGAACAGCUGAACUCAUUCAUCAGAUUUGAAAAUAAUCAGGUUUUUUACACUCUGUUAUCAUGGGUACGGUUGUUCCAGAGGGUGUGUUGGCAAAGAGCCUACUGAACCAUGUCCUCGAGACCGAACCACAUCCAUCCAAGGGCCUGGGGAGUUCUUGCUCCUUUGCUAGCUUUAUUCCAAGUACACUUGCAAAGCAUAAGGGAAACUCUUAUGCAAACCAAAAAUGAUCCUAGGUGUUUAGGAAAAAAUAAUGCCAAAAGUUGGCAUGGCAUGAUUCAUGUCAUUUUAGGGUACCUAGAUAAUUAAGUCUCAGGGCUAGACGUAUUCCAAAUAUUUGGAUAAUUCAAAGUAAUUUGCACAGACAUAGUAAAAAUCUAUUUUAGGUGGUGGAAUUUAAUAUAUAUUUCUUGGUGAGAAUUUAGUCUUCUGUGCAAUUUUAGCCCUAAUAUUUUAACAUUAACAGGUUUAAUGUUAUAAAGUGUUUUUGUACUUAUAAGCUUGUGAACUAACAAACCAUAAAACAAUAACAUGUGUUUACAAUUUGAAAAUAUACUGCACUGAGCUCUGUUUUCUAAAAUAAAUUUUGAACUAUUUGUAAAAAA